CUUACUCUGCAUGGGGUCCUGAACUUGCUGUGAAUUAACCCUUCACUCACUGCCUGCCGCAUUUUGGUGAUCACAUUUUGUUCUCUGCCACUUCCUGCUUGAGAGUAUGAUCUACAGCCAGCUAGACCAUAUCUGGAUGAAGCUUGAGAUAUAACCACAGGUUCAGAACACCCUGUUAUAAAGGAGCUGAACAUCCUUGGAGCAACACAUGACAUCUAGAACUCUACAUGGUCCAAGGUCUGUCUCACAAGGAGGACUGUGUAAUUAAAGCUAACUACAAACUAAGCUGAUUCUACUGUCAGGAUACGUCAUCCACAUUGCUGCCAGAGCAUUCUCUCUGAAAUGAUUAUCUGAUCAUCAUCCUCUCUUCUUCUCCACAAGCUCAAACACUUUCAGUGACUGAUUUGAAACCAGGUAUAUUUUUUAGCGUGGCAAAAAUAUGAAUCUUGGGUAUUAGCCUUCUAUCUGGCCUUAUGAUAUAGAAAUAUCAAAACACUGGUAACUUCCCAAAGAUUACAGAACAAGCAUUGGAGACAGGUCUCAUUCCUGGGUUGGCUGGCUCUGAAGCUGUACAUUAAACAUAUUUUCCUGCAUUGUCUCCCGUGGAUAUUAGAUUAAUAUUUGACAAAGCAUGUUCAAUUAGACUCAAAACAAUUCAACAAAAUUUGAGAACCUACCAUGAUCCAGUUCCAAGACGCCUGACACUGUAGAGCUCACAUUCUGGUAGGGGGAAACAAUGAACAAUAAACAUAAUAAAUAAGUUAUCCAUUGUAUUGGAAGAUUAUAUACGCUAUGGGAGAAAAAUUGCAGAUAUAGAGGAUGUUGGAAUAUUUGUGAAUUGAUUAUUUUUGAAUUGUUUUAGAUUUGUUAGCUUGUACCCCCCAUGGGAAACAACUUUAUAACCUAGAAUACGGUGAUUUUAUCUGGCUUAUAUUGAUAAUACAGAGUGAAAUCUUACAGUCUUCACUCAUUUCCAAAGUUACUUAGGUAACUUUGCAAUCCAAAGUAGUUACCUAAAGUUUGCUGUUUUGUGUAUAUGUGUGUUUACUUUUAUUGUAUAUUUGUUUUUCUAAACUCUUCGGCACAAUUUUCUGGGGGCAUUCAGACUGCCACAAUAUAAGUCGGGAGAGGACGUUUUCUUUGUACUGCCAAUUCUGAUCAUUUAAAUUUUGGUUUGUUUGGGUUGUGACUUUUUUGAAGUCUGAGUUCUUUAUUUGUAACAAUUAUACUUUUAUUUUUCUAUGUCCUCUAAUGCCAGUUUUUUCUCCCCCCUCCCCCCAACCACGUCUACAUUCACAGUUGUACCGUAUUAUUAGGAAAGGCGCCUUGAUGAAAAGAUCAGGAUAGGAGCUCUGACCAUUCGACAGUGUUUUCCCUAAAGUAAUAAAAAUAAAAUACAAUAAAAAACCCAAAGAGCAUCUUUCCUCGUUUUUGUUUGUUUGUUUGUUUGUUUACAUCUCUUGUGCUGCAUCAGUAGACAGAACUUUGGUCAGUUUCAUGAAAUGCAAUAUCUAACCCCUUGUUUUCUGGGAAAGGAAAAAGGAACUGCAAUGACACGAAGUUGAGAAUGUGGAUACCGCCUCAUUCACCC
rnacentral:lncRNA from 10 species